rnacentral:rRNA from 1 species
UACGUAGGUGGCAAGCGUUGUCCGGAUUUACUGGGCGUAAAGAGCGCGCAGGCGGUCGUUCAAGUCGCGUGUGAAAGCCCCCGGCUCAACUGGGGAGGGUCACGCGAUACUGAUCGACUCGAAGGCAGGAGAGGGAAGUGGAAUUCCCGGUGUAGUGGUGAAAUGCGUAGAUAUUCGGAGGAACACCAGUGGCGAAGGCGGCUCACUGGUCCGGUACUGACGCUGAGGUGCGAAAGCGUGGGGAGCAAACAGG